rnacentral:lncRNA from 1 species
GAACUGACAAUUGAUCAACUUUUGACGGACUAUCUCAAGAGGCUGCAGUAAAGAUGGGAUCGAAGGAAUAAGCUGCUUGUAGAUGAAACUACUUCAUAUGUGGGAGUUAUGUAUUACUGAUAGUGUUAUCGUGAAAACACACAUAUAGUGCACUGAUUUUAUGAAUGAUGUUUUUACUAACUAGUCAUAGAUCGUUCAAAUAAGAUGUCUGCAAUUUUAUAGCUAAGUUUGGUAGGUCCGAACUGAUAAGGCUGAG